UCGAACGGCAGCGCGGGGGCAACCCUGGCGGCGAGUGGCGAACGGGUGAGUAAUACAUCGGAACGUGUCCUGGAGUGGGGGAUAGCCCGGCGAAAGCCGGAUUAAUACCGCAUACGAUCUUGGGAUGAAAGCGGGGGACCGAAAGGCCUCGCGCUCAAGGGGCGGCCGAUGGCAGAUUAGCUAGUUGGUGGGGUAAAGGCCUACCAAGGCGACGAUCUGUAGCUGGUCUGAGAGGACGACCAGCCACACUGGGACUGAGACACGGCCCAGACUCCUACGGGAGGCAGCAGUGGGGAAUUUUGGACAAUGGGGGCAACCCUGAUCCAGCAAUGCCGCGUGUGUGAAGAAGGCCUUCGGGUUGUAAAGCACUUUUGUCCGGAAAGAAAACCUCCGUCCUAAUACGGUGGGGGGAUGACGGUACCGGAAGAAUAAGCACCGGCUAACUACGUGCCAGCAGCCGCGGUAAUACGUAGGGUGCAAGCGUUAAUCGGAAUUACUGGGCGUAAAGCGUGCGCAGGCGGUUCGCUAAGACCGAUGUGAAAUCCCCGGGCUUAACCUGGGAACUGCAUUGGUGACUGGCGGGCUAGAGUAUGGCAGAGGGGGGUAGAAUUCCACGUGUAGCAGUGAAAUGCGUAGAGAUGUGGAGGAAUACCGAUGGCGAAGGCAGCCCCCUGGGCCAAUACUGACGCUCAUGCACGAAAG
rnacentral:rRNA from 1 species